rnacentral:rRNA from 1 species
GGUUAAAAAGCUCGUAGUUGGAUCUCGGCGGGCAGGGGGUGGUUCGCUCUUCAGCGCUACUGCCCCGCUUUGCCCGUGUGAUUGGCGGAGGUUUCGGGGUGCUCUUCGUUGAGUGACUCGGAGCGCCGUCAGGUUUACUUUGAAAAAAUUAGAGUGCUCAAAGCAGGCUUUUCACGCUUGAAUAUUCGUGCAUGGAAUAAUGGAAUAGGAACUCGUUUCUAUUUUGUUGGUUUUCGGAAAUCGAGUUAAUGAUUAACAGGGACAAUUGGGGGCAUUAGUAUUCAGACGACAGAGGUGAAAUUCUUGGACCGUCUGAAGACUGACUACUGCGAAAGCAUUUGCCAAGAGUGUUUUCAUUAAUCAAGAACGAAAGUUAGAGGUUCGAAGGCGAUCAGAUACCGCCCUAGUUCUAACCAUAAACGAUGCCAGCUAGCGAUCUGCCGAGUUUUUUUUGUAGGCUCCGCAGGAAGCUUUCGGGAAACCAAAGCUUUUGGGUUCCGGGGGAAGUAUGGUUGCAAAGCUGAAACUUAAAGGAAUUGACGGAAGGGCACCACCAGGAGUGGAGCCUGCGGCUUAAUUUGACUCAACACGGGAAAUCUCACCAGGCCCGGACACUGGAAGGAUUGACAGAUUGAGAGCUCUUUCUCGAUUCGGUGGGUGGUGGUGCAUGGCCGUUCUUAGUUGGUGGAGUGAUUUGUCUGGUUAAUUCCGAUA